rnacentral:rRNA from 1 species
ACAGAGUUAGCCGGUGCUUAUUCUGCGAGUAACGUCCACUAUCUCUAGGUAUUAACUAAAGUAGCCUCCUCCUCGCUUAAAGUGCUUUACAACCAUAAGGACUUCUUCACACACGCGGCAUGGCUGGAUCAGGCUUGCGCCCAUUGUCCAAUAUUCCCCA